rnacentral:rRNA from 1 species
CUACGGGUUGCACCAGUAAGGAAUAUUGGUCAAUGGACGAAAGUCUGAACCAGCCAUGCCGCGUGCAGGAUGACAGCCCUAUGGGUUGUAAACUGCUUUUAUACGGGAAGAAUCCCCUGUACGUGUACAGGGAUGACGGUACCGUUUGAAUAAGCAUCGGCUAACUCCGUGCCAGCAGCCGCGGUAAUACGGAGGAUGCAAGCGUUAUCCGGAUUUAUUGGGUUUAAAGGGUGUGCAGGCGGAAUAAUAAGUCAGUGGUGAAAUCCUACGGCUCAACCGUAGACCUGCCAUUGAUACUGCUAUUCUUGAGUACAGUUGAAGUGGGCGGAAUGUGUCAUGUAGCGGUGAAAUGCAUAGAUAUGACACAGAACACCGAUAGCGAAGGCAGCUCACUAAGCUGUGACUGACGCUCAUGCACGAAAGCGUGGGGAGCAAACAGGAUUAGAUACCCGCGUAGUC